rnacentral:rRNA from 1 species
UGAGUACGAGAUGCUACGGCAUCGAAGCAGUCUAUGUCAUACUUCCAAGAAAAGCUCGCACUGUCAUAAACAAAUAAUGCCUGUACCAUAACCGACACAGGUGGGUAGGUAGAGUAUACUAAGGGGCGCGAGAUAACUCUCUCUAAGGAACUCGGCAAAAUGACUCCGUAACUUCGGGAGAAGGAGUGCCUUAUUUAUAAGGUUGCAAUAACCAGAUCCAAGCAACUGUUUAUCAAAAACACAGGUCUCCGCAAAGUCGUAAGACGAUGUAUGGGGGCUGACGCCUGCCCAGUGCCAGAAGGUUAAAGAAGUUGGUUAGUUUCGGCGAAGCUGAUAACUGAAGCCCUGGUGAACGGCGGCCGUAACGAUAACGGUCCUAAGGUAGCGAAAUUCCUUGUCGGGUAAGUUCCGACCCGCACGAAAGGCGUAAUGAUUUGGAUACUGUCUCAGAGAGGGGCUCGGUGAAAUAGACUUGUCUGUGAAGAUGCGGACUACCUGCACCUGGACAGAAAGACCCUAUGAAGCUUUACUGUAACUUGAAAUUGAAAUUGGACUUUAUUUGCGCAGUAUAGGUGGGAGGCAUUGAAGAUAUUCUUGCGGGAAAAUUGGAGCCAUCAGUGAGAUACCACUCUUGUAAUGUUAGAUUUCUAACUUUGUAUCAUUAUCUGGUCAAAGAACAGUUUCAGGCGGGCAGUUUGACUGGGGCGGUCGCCUCCCAAACGGUAACGGAGGCGCACAAAGGUUUCCUCUGAACGGGUAGAAAUCGUAUCUAGAGUGUAAAGGCAUAAGGAAGCUUGACUGUGAGACCUACAAGUCGAGCAGGGACGAAAGUCGGUCUUAGUGAUCUGACGGUGCUGAGUGGAAAGGCCGUCACUCAACGGAUAAAAGUUACUCUAGGAUAACAGGCUGAUCUCCCCCAAGAGUUCACAUCGACGGGGAGGUUUGGCACCUCGAUGUCGGCUCAUCGCAUCCUGGGGCGGUAGUACGUCCCAAGGGUUGGGCUGUUCGCCCAUGAAAGCGGUACGCGAGCUGGGUUCAGAACGUCGUGAGACAGUUCGGUCCAUAUCCGGUGUAGGCGUUAGAAUAUUGAGAGGAGCCUUCUUUAGUACGAGAGGACCGAGAAGGACAUACCUCUGGUGUACCAGUUAUCGUGCCAACGGUAAACGCUGGGUAGCUAUGUAUGGAGUGGAUAACCGCUGAAAGCAUCUAAGUGGGAAGCCCACCUUAAGAUAAG